CAAUAUUUGAGUUUCUUUGCUAGGACACAAGUCUCCCAACAGCGUGAAUGGACAGUAACAUCAGCGUGAAAUGCGCUUGGGGUGCGCAACAUCUUUUGUCUGGAGUUUAGUGCAUUUUUCUCCUCUUUUGAGUUCUAAUUGGGUUUCAGUGUCUUCAUGAAAGUUGUAGCUAUGGAGCAUAGUUGUCAUUUGCAUUUGGGUUGACUCCAAUUGGACAUCUAAAACUCCAUAUAUGGCUGAAAUACUCCACACAUGUCAUGUUGAUUUCUCACCAAAAUUCAGCACUGCAUUAAAACAAAGUAACAACGCAAAACUUCGAAUAAUCUCUACUAAAUCAAGGAAAUAAGAACAUAAAUAUUUCAUUAAAUCAGAGAAAUAAAAUUAAUAAAAUAUAUCAAAUAACUCAUUACAUUAACUAAUGAAUAAAAGAUAAAUAAGACUAAAAAUAAUGAAAAAUAUGCAUAUGAUGAAGAGUCAUCAAGUGUGGUUCAGAUCACAAUAGAGUUCUUCACCAUCUUCUAAAGGUUGUUGAGCAGUAUCGUCCAAGAUGUGCUCAGCAUGAGGAGGGAUUUCAAGAAUUUCGGUGAAAAUUAUGUCAUGAUCAGGAGAUGAAGUUUUUUCAAAAUCAAUUAAAGGUUGAUUUGUGGUAGGAGAAGUUACAUGUGGCUCUUGAGGAGUGGUAAAAGGAAAGUAGACAUCCUCAGGUGGAGGAUGAGUGACAAGAGAUUUUGGUUUAGUGAGUGUUUUUUGUGUAGUUGGGAUGGUCUCCUUCAUUUUCUUCUCAUUUGUUUGAAGAACUAAGGAGGAUCUUCUUUUGGUUGGGAUUUUUUAGGAGAACGAUUUAGCGAUAACUAUUUUGUUUGAAGGUUUAUCAGCAGGAUUGAACCUCAUUUGAUUGAUAUUUCUUGUAGAGAAGACAUUGUUCAUAUAAAUGGGUUUCCCGUCAUCCAAACGAACUAUAAAGAAUUUGAAUAUUUUGGUGAGGAGCAUUCCAUAUGGAGCUGAUUGGACAAGUCAUGCAGCAUGCAUCAAAAAGCAAAAAAUGAUGUUUCCCGCGUGAAGAGGACGACUAGAAAUAAGAUGAUGGAUUAUCAGUAGAUCUAGUUCAUUGACUUUUUCAAAAUUUCCUACUCUAUGAAUAAUAGUUUGAAUGCAGAUGUUGUGAAUAACUCUACACAUUGGCAGAAGGUUGGAUGCUACUUGAGGUUUAGGGGGAUUGAUGAGGAUGUUUUUCAGGACUUUUGAUCGAUUAACAUUACAUAAAGAGUACUAAGAUUCAGUGCAUAUGUGUGGACCUUCAUUCCAAAUGUCCAAAAUUUGACACAAUGUCUCAAGAGUGAGUUCAAUGUGAACUCCUUUGACAAUGAUAUUGAGGAAUGUGUCACCUUUCAAGACAUUUGUUGCAGCAUAAAAGGCUCUUACAAGUUUGGGAUAUUGAGGCUCAUCUAUUUUGAGGAAUAUGUACAUCCUAGUUGAUAAAAAACUUCUUUGACAUUGAAUCCACCCUUUUUAAGCCUCUCAAGAUCAAUUGUCUUUCCAUUCACGAUUGGCUUGUCUUGCCAUUUUUUACAGUAUUUCGUUUCCAAAUCUCAAGAGUCAAAAAAUGCGUUUUUUGUUGAUUUGAGAAGAAGGAGAUACACGAUGAGUUGGCUUGGAAGAGACUUCCUUCUAAAAGUUUUUUGAAGUAUUUGCAGCGGCUUUAGGCCUAGAGUUUUCAGAGUGAGUGGCUUCAGAAUCAUCAGAGUUUAUGACAUGGAAAGUGUUGUCUUGGGGUUGUUUAUUUUUGGAAAAGAGAGCUCCAAACAUAAGACGUGAUGAACUUCUAGUGGGCGCAGAGGAUGAUGAUAUGGAUUUUUUGGUUUUGGUUAGAGUAAAUUGAGGAGGAGGUGAUGAUAGGGUAGAAGGAAUGGCAGUGUACAAAGGAGGAUGGACAAUACUUAUAGGUUCUGGUUGAACAGGUUCAAGUGAGACUGUUUCUUUAUCAGGUUAGGAAUGGUUUGAGUCACUUGAAAAACAUUUUGAUAUAUAAUUUGAAGAGUUUGAUGAAAAAUUUCGUUUGGCAUAAAAUUUGAUUCGAGCCAUUUUUUUUUAAACAUAAACAUUUUUAGAGGAUUUAUGAUCUAGAAGGAAGAAGAAGUUUGAAGGUAAUCGUUGGAGAGGAGAUG
rnacentral:lncRNA from 1 species